UACAGAGGGUGCGAGCGUUGUUCGGAAUUACUGGGCGUAAAGCGCGCGCAGGCGGUCCUUUAAGUCUACCCGUGAAAUGCCGGAGCUCAACUCCGUGCACGCCGGGGGAUACUGGGGGACUGGAGACAUGUAGAGGCAAGCGGAAUUCCGGGUGUAGCGGUGGAAUGCGUAGAUAUCCGGAAGAACACCUGAGGCGAAGGCGGCUUGCUGGGCAUGAUCUGACGCUG
rnacentral:rRNA from 1 species